rnacentral:rRNA from 1 species
CCUACGGGAGGCAGCAGUGGGGAAUAUUGCGCAAUGGGGGCAACCCUGACGCAGCAACGCCGCGUGAUUGAAGAAGGCCUUCGGGUUGUAAAGAUCUUUAAUCGGGGACGAAUUUUGACGGUACCCGAAGAAUAAGCUCCGGCUAACUACGUGCCAGCAGCCGCGGUAAUACGUAGGGAGCAAGCGUUAUCCGGAUUUACUGGGUGUAAAGGGCGUGUAGGCGGGCAUGCAAGCCAGAAGUGAAAUCUGGGGGCUUAACCCCCAAACUGCUUUUGGAACUGCGUGUCUUGAGUGAUGGAGAGGCAGGCGGAAUUCCCAGUGUAGCGGUGAAAUGCGUAGAUAUUGGGAGGAACACCGAUUGCGAAGGCAUCUCACGAAUCCGCGAUUGACGCUGAUGCACGAAAGCGUGGGUAUCAAACAGGAUUAGAUACCCUUGUAGUC